rnacentral:rRNA from 1 species
UUCUGUAAGCCGUUGAAGGUGGCCUGUGAGGGUUGCUGGAGGUAUCAGAAGUGCGAAUGCUGACAUAAGUAACGAUAAAGCGGGUGAAAAGCCCGCUCGCCGGAAGACCAAGGGUUCCUGUCCAACGUUAAUCGGGGCAGGGUGAGUCGACCCCUAAGGCGAGGCUGAAAAGCGUAGUCGAUGGGAAACAGGUUAAUAUUCCUGUACUUGGUGUUACUGCGAAGG